AAGCAGGAUUCAGACUACAAUAUAGCUGUUAAGUGCUGUGUUGUCAUUCUCCCUGCUCAGAAUAAAGUUGUUUCUUAACUAUAACUUAAGUUAUAGUUAGCUGCCAGGGACACUUGGUCUCAUAUAU
ensembl:snoRNA SNORA63 Small nucleolar RNA SNORA63